rnacentral:rRNA from 1 species
CUACGGAGGGUGCGAGCGUUGUUCGGAAUUAUUGGGCGUAAAGAGCAUGUAGGCGGUCUGUUAAGUCUGGUGUGAAGGCCCGGGGCUCAACCCCGGAAGUGCAUUGGAUACUGGCAGACUUGAGUAUGGGAGAGGAAAGCGGAAUUCCGAGUGUAGGAGUGAAAUCCGUAGAUAUUCGGAGGAACACCAGUGGCGAAGGCGGCUUUCUGGACCAAUACUGACGCUGAGAUGCGAAAGCGUGGGGAGCGAACAGGAUUAGAUACCCCAGUAGUCC